AACGAACGCUGGCGGCAGGCUUAACACAUGCAAGUCGAGCGCCCCGCAAGGGGAGCGGCAGACGGGUGAGUAACGCGUGGGAAUCUACCCAUCUCUACGGAAUAACGCAUGGAAACGUGUGCUAAUACCGUAUACGUCCUUCGGGAGAAAGAUUUAUCGGAGAUGGAUGAGCCCGCGUUGGAUUAGCUAGUUGGUGGGGUAAAGGCCUAACAAGGCGACGAUCCAUAGCUGGUCUGAGAGGAUGAUCAGCCACACUGGGACUGAGACACGGCCCAGACUCCUACGGGAGGCAGCAGUGGGGAAUAUUGGACAAUGGGCGCAAGCCUGAUCCAGCCAUGCCGCGUGAGUGAUGAAGGCCCUAGGGAUGUAAAGCUCUUUCACCGGUGAAGAUAAUGACGGUAACCGGAGAAGAAGCCCCGGCUAACUUCGUGCCAGCCGCCGCGGUAAUAC
rnacentral:rRNA from 1 species